rnacentral:rRNA from 1 species
UAGGGAAUCUUCGGCAAUGGACGAAAGUCUGACCGAGCAACGCCGCGUGAGUGAAGAAGGUUUUCGGAUCGUAAAACUCUGUUGUUAGAGAAGAACAAGGACGUUAGUAACUGAACGUCCCCUGACGGUAUCUAACCAGAAAGCCACGGCUAACUACGUGCCAGCAGCCGCGGUAAUACGUAGGUGGCAAGCGUUGUCCGGAUUUAUUGGGCGUAAAGCGAGCGCAGGCGGUUUCUUAAGUCUGAUGUGAAAGCCCCCGGCUCAACCGGGGAGGGUCAUUGGAAACUGGGAGACUUGAGUGCAGAAGAGGAGAGUGGAAUUCCAUGUGUAGCGGUGAAAUGCGUUGAUAUAUGGAGGAACACCAGUGGCGAAGGCGGCUCUCUGGUCUGUAACUGACGCUGAGGCUCGAAAGCGUGGGGAGCAAACAGG